UAAAAAGCCCUUUAAACACAAAGG
rnacentral:tRNA from 1 species